CCUGGCUCAGGAUCGAACGCUAGCUACAGGCUUAACACAUGCAAGUCGAGGGGCAUCGAGGGAGAAAGCUUGCUUCUUGCUGGCGACCGGCGCACGGGUGAGUAACGCGUAUCCAACCUUCCCCCCAGUAGGGCAUAGCCCGGCGAAAGUCGGAUUAAUACCCUAUGUUUUCCAAUGAGGACAUCUGAGCUGGAACAAAGAUUUAUCGCUGGGGGAUGGGGAUGCGUCCGAUUAGGUUGUUGGCGGGGUAACGGCCCACCAAGCCCGCGAUCGGUAGGGGUUCUGAGAGGAAGGUCCCCCACACUGGUACUGAGACACGGACCAGACUCCUACGGGAGGCAGCAGUGAGGAAUAUUGGUCAAUGGGCGUAAGCCUGAACCAGCCAAGUAGCGUGCCAGGACGACGGCCCUAUGGGUUGUAAACUGCUUUUAUGCGGGGAUAAAGUGAGGUAUGUAUACCUUUUUGUAGGUACCGCAUGAAUAAGGACCGGCUAAUUCCGUGCCAGCAGCUGC
rnacentral:rRNA from 1 species